UACAGAGACUGCAAGCGUUAUUCGGAUUCACUGGGCGUAAAGGGUGCGCAGGCGGUUGGGUGUGUCAGAUGUGAAAUCCCGAGGCUUAACCUCGGAACUGCGUCUGAAACUACUCGACUAGAGUACUGGAGAGGGAAACGGAAUUCACGGUGUAGCAGUGAAAUGCGUAGAUAUCGUGAGGAACACCAGAGGCGAAGGCGGUUUCCUGGACAGUUACUGACGCUCAGGCACGAAAGCAUGGGAGCAAAAGGG
rnacentral:rRNA from 1 species